UUUAUUGUAAGAUAAGAAAUCUUUAGAGUUGUGGUCUCUAAAAUUCAUUAAUAUGUGACAUUAAAU
rnacentral:tRNA from 1 species